rnacentral:rRNA from 1 species
GAUGAACGCUGGCGGCGUGCCUAAUACAUGCAAGUCGAGCGAACAGACGAGGAGCUUGCUCCUUUGACGUUAGCGGCGGACGGGUGAGUAACACGUAGGUAACCUACCUAUAAGACUGGGAUAACUUCGGGAAACCGGAGCUAAUACCGGAUAAUAUUUCGAACCGCAUGGUUCGAUAGUGAAAGAUGGCUUUGCUAUCACUUAUAGAUGGACCUGCGCCGUAUUAGCUAGUUGGUAAGGUAACGGCUUACCAAGGCAACGAUACGUAGCCGACCUGAGAGGGUGAUCGGCCACACUGGAACUGAGACACGGUCCAGACUCCUACGGGAGGCAGCAGUAGGGAAUCUUCCGCAAUGGGCGAAAGCCUGACGGAGCAACGCCGCGUGAGUGAUGAAGGGCUUCGGAUCGUAAAACGCUGUUAUUAGGGAAGAACAAACGUGUAAGUAACUGUGCACGUCUUGACGGUACCUAAUCAGAAAGCCACGGCUAACUACGU